GCACCCACCUGCUGCAUCUUAGUUCAGCCGGCUCUUAGAGUAGUAACCGCCAGAAAGGAGUCGGAAGAGGUCUCACGAGGCUGUCAUCACCGCCAUGCCCAAGAAUAAAGGUAAAGGAGGUAAAAACAGGCGCAGGGGUAAAAAUGAGAAUGAAUCUGAAAAAAGAGAGUUGGUGUUUAAAGAGGAUGGACAAGAGUAUGCUCAGGUAAUCAAAAUGUUGGGAAAUGGACGAUUGGAAGCAUUGUGUUUUGAUGGUGUAAAGAGGUUAUGCCAUAUCAGAGGGAAAUUGAGAAAAAAGGUUUGGAUAAAUACAUCAGACAUUAUAUUGGUUGGUCUACGGGACUAUCAGGAUAACAAAGCUGAUGUAAUUUUAAAGUACAAUGCAGAUGAAGCUAGAAGCCUGAAGGCAUAUGGCGAGCUUCCAGAACAUGGUAAUAUCAAAAUGAUUUUAUCUCCUCAUUAUUUGAUAUUAAUGUUUGUUGGUAUUUAGAUGAAGGUAUUUCCGUAGAACUCUUGUUUUACAUACUGUUUUAGUGUACACUUAAAAAUUUGUUCUAAGUAGUCUUGCCUAUACUUCAGUAUACUUAUGAUACUUUGGAAAAGGUAUUAAUAACUGGAAAUCUCUAAUAAAAACGUUAUGAACUUGAAAGUAGAAGUCUCUAAUAAAGAGAUUAUGAAUUAUGAAAGUUCCUUUAGUGACGACUUUAUAAAUUCAUAAGCUCUGGAUUUGUAUAUAAGAUCUGUCAAAGAAAUACGUUUUUUAUAGUGUUUUUCUAAACAGUUCUCAAGACUGGCAGUUUUCAUUUAAGCAGAGGCAACAAAUGUAAUACUAAUGUUUGAUUAUUAUAGAAAAAA
rnacentral:sRNA from 1 species